UCGGUGAAAUUGAAAUGAUGUUGCCAAGUCUCUUUUGCUGCCUCCAAGCUUCCAAAAUCGAGAAUUGUCCGACUUGCAGGUUGUGAAACCGUAAAACUAAACUUUGAGUUCAAAUAUUUUGCAAAAACCUAUGAAUUUUGUGAUGUUCAUCUAUUCCACGCUUCUCAAUCUAAUUCAUAGGGUAUGUGAUCACUGUGUAUGCAUUAGAGGACUGUUAGAAUAUGUUUGUUGAUCCAAAUGUUAAAAAAUUUAUUGAUCCACAUGUUUAAGUCAUGUUUGAUUCAAAG
rnacentral:lncRNA from 1 species